rnacentral:rRNA from 1 species
UACGUAGGGUGCGAGCGUUAAUCGGAAUUACUGGGCGUAAAGCGUGCGCAGGCGGUUUUGUAAGCCAGAUGUGAAAUCCCCGGGCUUAACCUGGGAAUGGCAUUUGGGACUGCAAGGCUGGAGUGCGGCAGAGGAGACUGGAAUUCCUGGUGUAGCAGUGAAAUGCGUAGAUAUGUGGAGGAAUACCGAUGGCGAAGGCAGCCCCCUGGGAUAACACUGACGCUCAUGCACGAAAGCGUGGGGAGCAAACAGG